AAAAGGAUACCACGACACAGCAUAACCCAAACAGCAGGACAACGUUUAUCGUCCACACACAACAAAUCAAGCCAUGAAACUUGCAGCCAUUUUUGCACCUCUUCUACUACUUGCCAUAGCAAUGGUUAAGGGAAGCAACGGUCACCAUGGCCACCAUGGCCAUCAUGGUCACCAUGGACACCACGGACAUCAUGGUCACCAUGGCAAAUAGAGACCGAGCAUCCACCGAUCUGUUAGAUUUACAGCAAGACUUAACCAAUUCACAACAGAUUUUGUUUUUCAUACACACCAAUGAACCUGACAGACAGUUUUGCAUAUUUUCAAAUAUUUAUGAAUACAAUUCACAGGAAAUAAAUACUGACAAUAUAUCAACGUUUCGUUAUCAUU